UGUGGUUGAUCCGAAUGGGAGGAUAAGCUCGUGGAGGCUUCCUCUCUUCCGCGGAUGAUGGGAGAUGUUGCCGAAUCUGAUCCGGUCGUUGGAUGGUUGCUGGUUCUCCUCGGAAGGGAAGGGACAUGCAGAACAGGGGAAAGAGGCUGCAGACAUGGACGAAUGGGAGCUAGGAUCGGAAUGGGAUGAAGUCGGCUUGAUCCUUGGCUGAUGGCGAGAACGUUGAGAGGAUUUCGGAUCUGUUCCAGAGCAUGGGAAAGGAUGGAGCUGGGACUGGCGAACGGAUUAAACGUGAAACAGGGGAGAGAAGUUGGGAUUUUGAACGCGGAAGGGAGAAGCUUGGAUGCGGCUGAAUGGAGUUGAUCUGGAAGUUAGGAGGAAUUUGAAAGAAGAUUUGAUGGGAUAAGAAUUUAAGCUGGUUCGGAUUCGUGAGCUGAGAAGAAGUCGGGAUAAGCUUGGAAACUAGCGGAAGAUGGGAUGCUCAUUCGUGGAUCUGCUUGCUCUCAUCCGGAAGCAAAGAACAACUCGAGGCAGGGGAAAAUGGGAGGUGAUCCGUGAAGCUCGGGUUGCUGGGAACAAACGCGUGAGCUGAGAAGAUGAUGCUGGAGGAUUGAGCGCAUGGGAUAGGGAUGAUCACGGAGUACCCGGACACGGAAGGAAACGGAUGGGAUGAAGGUGGAUCGCAGAAAAUCGCUGGGACUCUGUUUCGGGAUACGGAUGAACGUGAUACAGGGGAGAGAAUUUGUGAGAUUUCUCAUAUGGAUGGUUGAAUCAAGCAUAUCUGAAUGCGAACGGGAUGAACGGAAUUCGGAUAAGGAAUACUCGGAUAUGCUGGGAGGAAUCCGGAAGGAGGAUAUGGCACACGGGUGAGGAUGAAUCACAACGGGAUGAAGGCUGGAUUCUCUUGGAUGCAGGGGAUAAGCUGGAUGCCGUGAAGCUCGCAAGGAUGGAGCUGAUCUGUGGGAUAAGAAUGGGUUACGAACAGCAUGUAAACGGGAUGGAGUUAUUCCGAAACGAGAGGAAAUCUGGGAGUUCGGAAGAAGAUUGUGACUUUGGUUCGUGGACGUGGAAAGAAUCCGGAAGAAGAGCUCUUCCGUGAUGCUUGAUCUGUGAUGGUGCGGGGAUGUCGUGGGUGAGAGGAAGAUGAGGAUAAAUCACGGAGAAUGGGGAAGAUCUUGGCUUUGUUCCUUAGAUGGGAAGAUGAUCCAGAAGGGCUGAUGUUGCUUCAUUUGUUGGAAGGAUGGAAUCGGAUCCAUGCGGACGGUUUGGCUCUGUUUGGAUGCCGUGAAUGCAGGGGAGGAUGAAGUCGAAUCUUGGAUAAGGAACGAGAACAACAUGGGAUGACAUGGGAGGAAAAUGAUCUGGCCUUUGUUCGUGGAUGUGGAAGGAAUCGGCGGACGAUGGGAAUGAUAACAGAUGUGGGCAUUUGAGAAGAUCUCAGAGGUUGGGAUGCUGGGAGCGCAUGGGAUGAGGU
rnacentral:lncRNA from 1 species